rnacentral:rRNA from 1 species
GACGAACGCUGGCGGCGUGCUUAACACAUGCAAGUCGAACGGAAAGGCCCUGCUGUUGUCUGCUUCUCUAGUGGCUAACGGAUGGGUAACUAGUGAUUAGCCUGCCCUUUACUUUGGGAUAACUUCAGGAAACUAGGGCUACUACCGGAUCGUAACUCCUGCUGCCUGGUGGGGGUUGGAUUGUUUCGGCGGUUGGGGAUGGACUCGCGGCUUAUCAGCUUGUUGGUGGGGUAGUGGCUUACAAAGGCUUUGACGGGUAGCCGGCCUGAGAGGGUGACCGGGGACAAUAGGACUGAGAGACGGACCAGACUCAUAUGGGAGGCAGCAGGGGGGAAUAUUGUACAACGGGCGGAAGCCUGAUGCAGCAACGCCGCGUGCGGGAUGACGGCCUUCGGGUGGGAAACCGAUUACGGCUGAGACGAAGAGUGAGUGACGGUAAUGGGUAAAGAAGCACCGGCUAACUACGUG